rnacentral:pre_miRNA from 1 species
AUUCAUCCGUAGGUAGGGCCAAAGACGUUUUGCUGACGCCAGCGAAACGUCUUUGGCCCUAUCUACGGAUGAGUA